CCUACGGGAGACUGCAGUGAGGAAUAUUGGUCAAUGGGCGCGAGCCUGAACCAGCCAAGUAGCGUGAAGGAUGACUGCCCUACGGGUUGUAAACUUCUUUUAUAAAGGAAUAAAGUGAGGCACGUGUGCCUUUUUGUAUGUACUUUAUGAAUAAGGAUCGGCUAACUCCGUGCCAGCAGCCGCGGUAAUACGGAGGAUCCGAGCGUUAUCCGGAUUUAUUGGGUUUAAAGGGAGCGUAGAUGGGUUGUUAAGUCAGUUGUGAAAGUUUGCGGCUCAACCGUAAAAUUGCAAUUGAUACUGGCAGUCUUGAGUGAGCGAGAAGUAUGCGGAAUGCGUGGUGUAGCGGUGAAAUGCAUAGAUAUCACGCAGAACUCCGAUUGCGAAGGCAGCAUACCGGCGCUCAACUGACGCUCAUGCACGAAAGCGUGGGUAUCGAACAGGAUUAGAUACCCCAGUAGUC
rnacentral:rRNA from 1 species